rnacentral:rRNA from 1 species
GUCCUGGCCCUAAACGGUGCUCACUUGGUGUGGGAGGGAAUCGACCCCUUCCGUGCCGAAGCUAACGCAUUAAGUGAGCCGCCUGGGGAGUACGGUCGCAAGAUUAAAACUCAAAGAAAUUGACGGGGGCCCGCACAAGCGGUGGAGCAUGUGGCUUAAUUCGAUGCAACGCGAAGAACCUUACCUGGCCUUGACAUGUACGUAGUAGAAGCCCGAAACGGUGACGAGGUAGCAAUACCAGCGUACACAGGUGCUGCAUGGCUGUCGU